UAGUUUACCGGAACGGUCUGGAAUGGCCGGCGAGAUGGGUGACAGCCCCGUACAGGACGGAAGAACGACAGGACUCGAGUAGGGCGGGACACGUGAAAUCCUGUCUGAACAUGGGGGGACCACCCUCCAAGCCUAAGUACUCCUCAGCGACCGAUAGCGAACAAGUACCGUGAGGGAAAGGUGAAAAGCACCCCGAUGAGGGGAGUGAAACAGUUCCUGAAACCGGAUGCUUACAAACAGUGGGAGCUCAAGGUUCGUCCUGAGUGACCGCGUACCUUUUGUAUAAUGGGUCAGCGACUUAAAGUAACGAGCAAGCUUAAGCCGGUAGGUGUAGGCGCAGCGAAAGCGAGUCUGAAUAGGGCGUUCAGUUCGUUGCUUUAGACCCGAAACCGAGUGAUCUAGCCAUGUGCAGGAUGAAGGUGGGGUAACACCCACUGGAGGUCCGAACCAGUGCCCGUUGAAAAGGUCUUGGAUGACGUGUGGCUAGGGGUGAAAGGCCAAUCAAACUCGGAGAUAGCUGGUUCUCCGCGAAAUCUAUUGAGGU
rnacentral:rRNA from 15 species